CACUGCUGCUGGGCGGACGAAGUGCCGGACGAAGUGCUGCACUGCUGUUGGGCGGACGAAGUCACCGGCGAUGGGAGUUCGUGCGGCUGGGCGGACGAAGCGUGCUGCACUGCUGCUGCUGUUCCCUAUUUCUCCGGCGGCGGACGGGCGAGAGAAGUGGAGAAAGCGACCGGCGAUGGAGGUGAGGCGGCGUGACUGAGACCGAGAAGGAGAUGGCCGAUGAAGGAGAUGGCCGAUGGAAUAUGGGAGUGAGGCGGCGCAGGAGUUAGAAGUUGAAGA
rnacentral:lncRNA from 1 species